AGUUGUUUAUACAUCAUAAUAAUUCCAAAUAAUACGUUUUAACAACUGAAGUCUCGGAAAUCUUUAGAAACUGAACGAGAAUAUACGUAGCUGUAACUCUAGUACUAGGGCUGACCUACACAUGCCCUAUUCAGUAUUCAGAUCAAGCAUCACAAACAGCCAAUAAAAUGCUGUACGAGCUCAAGGGUACAACAAGCCAGUCCUGUAAAGAACGGUACCUCGUGAGACAAAGACGAGCAACGGUGUCGUAAUGGGAUUGGAUUAGUUAACUGAAGACAACAUUAAUAAUGACAGAAUACGGUUUGGAAAGCAGACAAACAUUCGAGGAGGAAACAUUUUACGACAGUAAUGAUUAUUUUCAUACCGAGAAUGCUGUCUGUGAUGAUUACCUGUACAACAGAUCGAGGGCUAUAGUAACUCCCUUUCCUCGGGAAGGAGUUAAUCUUAAACCCAGUCGCAAGCAGUGGAACAAGUGGUUUAUUUUAUUUGCGUUGUGUUAUUCAGAGUUCUGGGUUGGAGCUUGUAUGUCACUACCAGCCC